ACAAUUAUCACCUUAACCAUAAAAAGAUAAGCCUGUUUGUAGAGGAGGAUUCAAAUACAGAGGAGAAACAGAUACAAUCAUGUUUCAUGAAGCAACUUUGCCCAAUAAAAUGCAUUGAGGUUUAUAAUAAGAUAACAAUCUGCAACAAAAGUACUUUCACAAAGCACAGAACAAAUCAGACCUCUGUUAACGUAAAACUUGUUCUGUGUAAUAAGUCCAAGUACAAAACAAAUGGACUUUGAACCUGUCACUGUUAAAAUAUAAUCUUGUACCAAGUCUUUACAGCAUAACACAAUUCAAAGAAUGUAAGUAUUUUUUCCUUCUCAGACAUUUUUGUGGUUUUUAGCAUUAACUAUGCUGAGAAGGGAGUAAGGCGGUUCUCUUUGAAUGUAUAUCUUUCACUUAUUACCUCCGUGGCAGCUAAUAUUCAUUAGACUGUAACAGCAGAGCUGGCCAAGACUGUUUUCUUUGUUUCUCAAAAUUAGAUGUACAAGUCAAGCUGAAUCGCUUCUUCAGUCCGAGAAAGCUUCAUUUUAUCAAGGAUUUCUAAACUCAAGCUGAUAUCAAUGCUUCCAAACUCUGAGAACAUGUCAGAGGUAGAGUUGGUGGAGGUUGCUAAACCCGAAGAUAAUGAGAAAAACGAAAGAUGUUCUCAGACCUUAGAUGAAGUAGGAUCAAUUAGGAAUGGAUUUAAUAUUUGGAUUUUCCUCAAGAGGAAUGCCUUCGUCCUUCUCACAAUGGCUGCUGUUGCUUUCGGGAUUGGACUGGGCUUUGCUCUGCGACACAUUAACAUGUCUGAGAGAGAAAUAACAUAUUUAACUUUUCCUGGAGAGCUGCUGCUGAGAAUGCUGCAGAUGAUGGUGCUUCCUCUUGUCGUUUUGA